ACAAUUAAACGUUGAAUUACUUUAUGCCACAUCAAAUAGUAAAAUUCAGCAUUUUUGUUCUUCCCAUCUUUUUGUUUCUUGCAAUUUUGCUAAGGGAUGUGCUCAGGAGAGUAUUUUUGGUGUUCGAUUGGGUCGAACUGGAACAGUCAACUCUUUUCCGCUCAGCUAGAAGAUGGGAUAUCAGUACUCAAGUUAAUCAGCUUUGGUGUGGGGCAAUCAAAUAAGUCGAAAGGAAUAAAACACAACUUAUCCAAGAAAACAGGACCUUCUGUUAUAAAAGAUAAAGACCAAACCGGUCGUGGAUAUUUAAAACUGAUAUCUGUCAUGUAGAAGCAGGCAUUGCUAUUCUCUUCCAAUUCAACUAUGGCUUGCUUCCAGUUGUCUAAGGCCAAUUAUACUAAUAUCUUCAACAACAGAAUCUAUCAAAACCCACCUCUCGAAAAACAUAAAACAAGCAAAUACUCUAUGUUGUACUCUAUGCUACUUCAAGUGCCCAAAAUUCUACUCCACCUCUGUUCAAAAUGUGAACUUUUCAAGUAAAUCAAUUAUUAUCAUUGUCAUUAUUUUUGUGUCAUAGGAUUAAACUUAAGUUGCUUCUGAAAUUGAUGAGAUGGGCUACCCAGUUCAGGCCCAAAAUUGGGUCUUCAUUCCACGUUCUACUCCAAGAAUAUACCUUAUGCAUGUGCCAUGUACUCAUUAUAUUUCUUUUUUAAUCUCAAUUUACGCCCCAGAUACUGGCAACUUCAAAGAUCAAAUCUUUUUGUUUAAAACAAAAAAAGAGUUCAAAUCUUUGACAACCCAUCUUCGACUCUAUGAUCUUCCCUCGAUGACUGCAAUCAUCUUUUCUUCAUUAAAAUUCAUUGAUAAAAAUAUCCCACUUCCCAUUUUCUAAUUUGUUUAACCUUGGCAGUUGACACAAAAUCUGCACUGAAACAAUGGAGGACCCGUUGUAUUCUAUCAUAAUCCCCCUUUUCAAUUCCACAAAUGUUCUCUCUUAAUUUCAUUAAAUUCUUAUCCUUUCUUGGUCUGUUCGGUUUCUCUCUCUUUCUGUAUUCGAUUCUCAUGGAAAUUCCAGCAACAGCAACAGACAUCACUGCUCAAAAGUAUGUCUAUUCAGUGUGGGCGAUUCCAGCAGAGGAUGUGUCAGCAAGACUAAAGAAGUUGAUGGAGGAUUUGAGAUCAGAAUUUGGUGGGCCUCAGUUUGAGCCUCAUGUUACUGUAGUGGGUGCUAUUAGUUUGACUGAGGAAGAAGCUCUGGAGAAGUUUAGAUCUUCUUGUGAUGGCCUUACGCGUUAUAUCGCUACUGUUGAUCGUGUGGCUACUGGGACUUUCUUUUAUCAAUGUAUUUAUCUGCUUUUGAAUCCAUCUCCUGAGGUAGUGAGAGCUAGCGCACACUGCACUGGGCACUUCGGUUACAAGAGUUCUACUCCCUACAUGCCUCAUCUUAGUCUCCUAUAUGGAGAUCUAACUGAUGAUGAGAAGAAAAAGGCUCAAGAAAAGACCAACAUACUUGAUGAGAGCAUUAAUGGUUUAAGCUUCCAGAUAAGCCGACUUGCACUGUGGAAAACAGACACUGAGGACCGCACUCUGAAAUCAUGGGAGAAGAUUGCAGAAUGCACCCUCAGUCCCAACUAGGCAACUGCUUCCUCUCCUUUCUUAAUGUUUCCAAUUUACAAUAAAACCUAUCAGGAGUUGGCAGCUUAACAGUGCUGGAAUCGUUUCGAGGUCUUAUAUUCAAAACUCAGAGGGGAUCAAUUAAAAGGAAAAAAAACCAUUCACUACAUACAGCGGCUUAAAUUCAACAGGGUACAAGGGGAAUAAACUUAAAAUUAUUUGGACCAUCCAGAUAUGGAAAGUCUAGCUCCGAAUGAUCUUUUAAUUUUGGUUCUGAUUUUAUUUGCGAUGCAAAUUUAAUUGUUUUAAGGACUUUUCAGAGUCUUAUGUUCAAAGUUAUAGAUUUGUACUAAUUUAGUAUUUAAAUUAGCCUAUAUAAGUCCAUUUUUGUUAAUUUUUAUUUCUGACUUAGACGUGGAAUAUUACGAGAACAAGCAUCAUUUGACCUGUUUGCCUUGCUAUA